AGCAUAUGGAUAGUCCAGAAUCAGUAAACGAAUGCCAUGUGGGGAGCUCAAGUCCUCAACAGCCACUCCUCUGUAAUUGAACGACAUUAUGGUCAGGUUAGCAAGACGAAAAAACAUAUAUUUAUGUUCUGAUAUAUUAUUUAAUAUUUAGUACAGAGUAUGAGAUAUUUGUGGCUCUUCAUUUACCUUUUGAGGAGAUCAGCAGGAAGUGCUUGUUCAGGGAAAACCCAAUCUUUGUAAGCUGCUGCUGACAUUUCCAUGGAAUAUUUGGUAGGAAAAAGAGACGUCUCAAAACCACCAUCAUAGGUCAAGGUCUCUCUUGCUAAAGCAUUUAUGUUCAUCGUGUUACGGAAAUGAGGAUGAAGAAGUUUAUGAAUGGGAUGAAGCACACUUAGAUGCCUAUUUGUUGCAAUCACAAAUGGUU
rnacentral:lncRNA from 1 species